GCAAAGAUAGCUUAACAAAAAAGCGAAGCACUGAAAAUGCUUAAAUAGAGGUUAAACUCCCCUUCUUAGCA
rnacentral:tRNA from 1 species